UACGUAGGGGGGCUAGCGUUGUCCGGAUUUAUUGGGCGUAAAGAGCGUGUAGGCGGCUAGAUAGGUCCGUUGUGAAAACUCGAGGCUCAACCUCGAGACGUCGAUGGAAACCAUCUGGCUAGAGUCCGGAAGAGGAGAGUGGAAUUCCUGGUGUAGCGGUGAAAUGCGUAGAUAUCUGGAGGAACACCGGUGGCGAAGGCGGCAUUCUGGACCGACAUUUGACGCUGAGGAGCGAAAGCCAGGGGAGCAAACGGG
rnacentral:rRNA from 1 species